rnacentral:tRNA from 1 species
AUUUAAAUAGUUUAAUAAAAAUAUUGAUUUGUGGAGUCAGAGAUGUAAUUAUUACUUUAAAUA